rnacentral:lncRNA from 1 species
CUACUGUAUCUGUUCAACAGAACAAGAGACCCAGGUCGGUGAUCCAAGCUCCCCCUCAGGCUCCAGUGGUAGAACGUGGUAAGAUCUAUUAACAUUGCGGUAGGGAUCACGGGGACCGACUCUGCUACCGCCUCAACAACACUUGUUGCAUAUGUGGUAGUGCCCAACAUUAUGCGAGAGAGUGCCCAAGGAACCCGAAUCAGGGCAGACCUCCUAUUCAAGGCAGAGCUUACAAUCUCACCCAGCAGGAUACUGAAGCCGACCCAGACGUGGUACAGGGUAUGUAUACUAUCUGUAACCAUCUUGCUCAUGUUUUGAUUGACACUAGUGCAUCGCAUUCAUUUGUUUCACCUG